rnacentral:rRNA from 1 species
GAUUGCCUCAGUAACGGCGAGUGAAGCGGCAACAGCUCAAAUUUGAAAUCUGGCCCCAGGCCCGAGUUGUAAUUUGCAGAGGAUGCUUUUGGCGAGGUGCCUUCCGAGUUCCCUGGAACGGGACGCCAUAGAGGGUGAGAGCCCCGUACGGUUGGACACCAAGUCUUUGUAAAGCUCCUUCGACGAGUCGAGUAGUUUGGGAAUGCUGCUCGAAAUGGGAGGUAUAUUUCUUCUAAAGCUAAAUAUUGGCCAGAGACCGAUAGCGCACAAGUGGAGUGAUCGAAAGAUGAAAAGCACUUUGAAAAGAGGGUUAAACAGCACGUGAAAUUGUUAAAAGGGAAGCGCUUAUGACCAGACUUGCGCCCGGUGAAUCACCCAGCUCUCGCGGCUGGGGCACUUUGCCGGCUCAGGCCAGCAUCAGCUCGCUGUCGGGGACAAAAGCUUCGGGAACGUAGCUCUCUUCGGGGAGUGUUAUAGCCCGUUGCAUAAUACCCUUCGGCGGGCUGAGGUACGCGCUCCGCAAGGAUGCUG